CUUGCAUAACGUCUUUCCUUCUCCCUUCUUUUCCUCUCGGGUACUGAUUUCUGUCUUCUUUUUCAUCUGAAGGUGAAAGCUGGAAGACGUGUAUACUUCACAAACAUUUUCAAUUUUGUUUCGCUAUCUGCCUCUCGAUCAUGUCUAACCAAGCCGAAUUCUCUACUUCAUAAGUGUUCUUCAUUACCCAGAUCUGCAUUUGCUUAGCUAUUCCCUUCAUAUUCCUCAAUUUCGAUUUCUAUUUUUUUCUUCAAGAACUAUGAAUAAAUUUCCUAACCUUUUGACCUUUGAUGAUUUAUUUGUUAAUGGGUACUCGGUUCUGUACCGAGUGUUACGAAGAGGGAUUUCAGCACCGUGAUUUUGGAGGUUGAAGGCAUAUGUCUGUUGUCGAACUCACUACAUGUCCCCCAAUCUUUUUGGCUACCUCCAUGAUGUGUGCCACCAGUGAAAAUAGCGUUCCAUGGGUUUCCUUAUCGGAAAUUCCAGAACAGCAUGGAAUAAAAGUUUUUUUUUUUUUUCUGACUGGAUUUCUCGAUGAAUCCCUGCAAAAUCAUUGCUAUUAUCCCGGUUCUGAGUACAAAAGUUUUGGUCUUACAGGGCAACGUCCUCCUCUACAUUCUAAGCUUAUAAGCUAAAUCCGCUGAGCAUGAAGUGGGCUGAGCUACUCUUGUGAAGCUCAAAUUUGCAUCUUUAUCCUGCAAAGCAAAAAGACCAAACUUCCAAGAAAACGACAGAGUUUUAUAGGGCAAAACUGCGAAAGCCAAAAGUAUACAAAAGAAAGGGUGCAAAACUUAUGUGGCCAACGUAGAAAAAAGUAAAACAAAAAGUGAAGAAGCAUGCGGCGUCGUUUUGGAAGGCAAGGAAAGGCUAGAGAAGAAGAUAAAAGCUGCGUGAUCAAAAUGGGACAAAACAGCCCUCAUAAGGGUAGACAUAGGUGCUGAAACACGAUGCCCAAAUAUGUAAUUCAGCAGCUAAAGUUGUACACCUCAUAAGCCUAUUUUACCUCCCAUGCCUAUUUUGCCUAAUAACCAAUUAAUUUUUUUUUU